UACGAAGGGGGCUAGCGUUGCUCGGAAUGACUGGGCGUAAAGGGCGCGUAGGCGGAUGGCACAGUCAGAUGUGAAAUUCCCGGGCUUAACCUGGGGGCUGCAUUUGAUACGUGUGAUCUAGAGUGAGGAAGAGGGUCGUGGAAUUCCCAGUGUAGAGGUGAAAUGCGUAGAGAUGUGGAGGAACACCGAUGGCGAAGGCAGCCCCCUGGGUCAAGAUUGACGC
rnacentral:rRNA from 1 species